UACGUAGGGUGCGAGCGUUGUCCGGAAUUACUGGGCGUAAAGAGUUCGUAGGCGGUUUGUCGCGUCGUUCGUGAAAACUUGGGGCUUAACUCCAAGCGUGCGGGCGAUACGGGCAGACUUGAGUACUACAGGGGAGACUGGAAUUCCUGGUGUAGCGGUGAAAUGCGCAGAUAUCAGGAGGAACACCGGUGGCGAAGGCGGGAUCUCUGGGUAGUAACUGCGCUGAGGAACGAAAGCGUGGGUAGCGAACAGGA
rnacentral:rRNA from 1 species